UUCCGGUUGAUCCUGCCGGACCCCACUGCUAUCGGGGUGGGACUAAAACAUGCGAGUCGAGUGCCUUCAAGCUAUGGUGAAGGCGCGGCGAACGGCUCAGUAACACGUGGCUAACCUACCCUUUGGACGGGGACAACCCCGGGAAACUGGGCCUAAUCCCCGAUAGAUGAGAAGUCCUGGAAUGGUUUCUCAUCUAAAAGGUGUUUAGAGCAUGCUUCUAGGCGUCGCCAAAGGAUGGGGCCGCGGCCGAUCAGGUUGUUGGUGAGGUAACGGCUCACCAAGCCUAUAACCGGUACGGGCCGUGAGAGCGGGAGCCCGGAGAUGGGCACUGAGAUAAGGGCCCAGGCCCUACGGGGCGCAGCAGUUGCGAAAACUCCGCAAUGCGCGAAAGCGUGACGGGGCUACCCCGAGUGCCGUCCGCUGAGGACGGCUUUUCCACGGUGUAAGGAGCCGUGGGAAUAAGGAGAGGGCAAGACUGGUGUCAGCCGCCGCGGUAAUACCAGCUCUCCGAGUGGUGGGGACGAUUAUUGGGCUUAAAGCGUUCGUAGCCGGUCCGGCAAGUCUUCCGUUAAAUCCAGCGAUCUAAUCGUUGGACUGCGGGAGAUACUGUUGGGCUAGGGGGCGGGAGAAGCCGACGGUAUUCUCGGGGUAGGGGUGAAAUCCUAUAAUCCCGGGAAGACCACCAGUGGCGAAGGCGGUCGGCUAGAACGCGCCCGACGGUGAGGGACGAAAGCUGGGGGAGCGAACCGGAUUAGAUACCCGGGUAGUCCCAGCCGUAAACGAUGCGGGCUAGGUGUUGGGGCGGCCACGAGCCGCUUCAGUGCCGCACGGAAGCAAUUAAGCCCGCCGCCUGGGGAGUACGGCCGCAAGGCUGAAACUUAAAGGAAUUGGCGGGGGAGCACCACAAGGCGUGAAGCUUGCGGUUUAAUUGG
rnacentral:rRNA from 1 species